rnacentral:rRNA from 1 species
UACAGAGGGUGCAAGCGUUGUUCGGAAUUAUUGGGCGUAAAGCGCGUGUAGGCGGCUUGGCAAGUCGGGUGUGAAAUCCCUCAGCUUAACUGAGGAAGUGCGCCCGAAACUUCGAAGCUUGAGUUCUGGAGAGGAAGGCGGAAUUCUCGGUGUAGAGGUGAAAUUCGUAGAUAUCGAGAGGAACACCGGUGGCGAAGGCGGCCUUCUGGACAGUGACUGACGCUGAGACGCGAAAGCGUGGGGAGCAAACAGG